AACAGCCUUGUUGCUCACACAAACGUGCAUGAAAUUUGGUACUGUGACCCGGAUCAGAGUACCUCCCUUGGGAGAUGAAUCCCCUGUCCUCCUGCUCUUUGCUCCAUGAGAAAGAUCCACCUAGGACCUCGGGUCCUCAGACCGACCAGCCCAAGGAACAUCUCACCAAUUUCAAAUCUGGACCCCACUGAAAAUCGGACUGUUCAACUCACCUGGCAGCCACUCCCAGAGCCCCUGGAACUCUGGGCCAAGGCUCUCUGACUCCUUCCCAGAUCUUUUCAGCUUAGCAGCUGAAGACUGACACUGCCCAAUCACCUCAGAAGCCCCCUAGACCAUCACGGAUGCCGAGCUUCAAGUAACUCUCACAGUGGAGGAAACGCGCAUGAAACAAACAAACAAAAAAACUCUUUUGGUAGCAGAAUAAAAAAACAAAAAAAGGACUUGUUCUUUUGGACUGAACUGUAUUUAAAUCUCAAAGGAUGGACAUCUCACAACCUUCCUACAGCAAGUACUGUGAGAGCUGCAUCUUGUCCCACUGGAAGGUCUUCAGAGACAAUAACACAUAAUGGAGCCGUCAUCUCCUAUGAUAACAAUGCCUUCUUUUGGAUACCUCCUGAAGGACCUGCCUGAGGCUCUUUCACAGUUAGUUUUUUUUUUUAAUAAGUAGAAGGAUUACACUCUAAAAUAAUAAGUGUAGUAUAGUAAAUGUAUAAACCAGUAACAGUGGUUUAUUAUCGUUAUCAAGUAUUACAUACUGUACAAAAUUAUAUGUGCUACAAUUUUAUGUGACUGGCAG
rnacentral:lncRNA from 1 species